rnacentral:tRNA from 1 species
GCGGGCGUGGCGAAACUGGUAGACGCAAGGGAUUUAAAAUCCCUCGGCCUUGGCUGUACGGGUUCGACCCCCGUCGCCCGCACCA